rnacentral:rRNA from 1 species
UCGAUUCCGUAAGUAGCGGCGAGCGAACGCGGAAUAGCCCAAACCAAUAAAGUUUUCUUUAUUGGGGUUGCGGACAUAUCUUAAACGAAGAGGUAUCGUAAUUGAAGAGGUUUGGAAAGACCCACCAUAGAAGGUAAUAGUCCUGUAUGUCAAACGAGAAAACUUCAGAUAUGAUCCAGAGUACCACGGGACACGUGAAACCCUGUGGGAAGCAGGAGGGACCACCCUCCAAGGCUAAAUACUACCUAGUGACCG